GUGAGGAAUAUUGCGCAAUGGAGGCAACUCUGACGCAGCCAUGCCGCGUGCAGGAAGAAGGCGCUACGCGUUGUAAACUGCUUUUAACCAGGAAGAAACCCCAGGACGUGUCCUGGGUUGACGGUACCGGAGGAAUAAGCACCGGCUAACUUCGUGCCAGCAGCCGCGGUAAUACGAAGGGUGCAAGCGUUAUCCGGAUUCAUUGGGUUUAAAGGGUGCGUAGGCGGAGCGUUAAGUCAGUGGUGAAAUCCUGCAGCGUAACUGUAGACUUGCCAUUGAUACUGGCGCUCUUGAGUGCGCUUGAAGUGGGCGGAAUGUGCCGUGUAGCGGUGAAAUGCUUAGAUAUGGCACAGAACACCAAUUGCGAAGGCAGCUCACUAAGGCGAUACUGACGCUGAGGCACGAAAGCGUGGGGAUCGAACAGGAUUAGAAACCCUUGUAGUCC
rnacentral:rRNA from 1 species